rnacentral:rRNA from 1 species
AUGAACGCUAGCUACAGGCUUAACACAUGCAAGUCGAGGGGCAGCAUUUCAGUUUGCUUGCAAACUGGAGAUGGCGACCGGCGCACGGGUGAGUAACACGUAUCCAACCUGCCGAUAACUCGGGGAUAGCCUUUCGAAAGAAAGAUUAAUACCCGAUGGUAUAAUCAGACCGCAUGGUCUUGUUAUUAAAGAAUUUCGGUUAUCGAUGGGGAUGCGUUCCAUUAGGCAGUUGGUGAGGUAACGGCUCACCAAACCUUCGAUGGAUAGGGGUUCUGAGAGGAAGGUCCCCCACAUUGGAACUGAGACACGGUCCAAACUCCUACGGGAGGCAGCAGUGAGGAAUAUUGGUCAAUGGGCGCAGGCCUGAACCAGCCAAGUAGCGUGAAGGAUGACUGCCCUAUGGGUUGUAAACUUCUUUUAUAUGGGAAUAAAGUUUUCCACGUGUGGAAUUUUGUAUGUACCAUAUGAAUAAGGAUCGGCUAACUCCGUGCCAGCAGCCGCGGUAAUACGGAGGAUCCGAGCGUUAUCCGGAUUUAUUGGGUUUAAAGGGAGCGUAGGUGGACAGUUAAGUCAGUUGUGAAAGUUUGCGGCUCAACCGUAAAAUUGCAGUUGAUACUGGCUGUCUUGAGUACAGUAGAGGUGGGCGGAAUUCGUGGUGUAGCGGUGAAAUGCUUAGAUAUCACGAAGAACUCCGAUUGCGAAGGCAGCUCACUGGACUGCAACUGACACUGAUGCUCGAAAGUGUGGGUAUCAAACAGGAUUAGAUACCCUGGUAGUCCACGCCGUAAACGAUGAUUGCUAGGUGUAGGUGGGUAUGGACCCAUCGGUGCCGCAGCUAACGCAAUAAGCAAUCCACCUGGGGAGUACGUUCGCAAGAAUGAAACUCAAAGGAAUUGACGGGGGCCCGCACAAGCGGAGGAACAUGUGGUUUAAUUCGAUGAUACGCGAGGAACCUUACCCGGGCUUAAAUUGCAUUUGAAUAUAUUGGAAACAGUAUAGCCGUAAGGCAAAUGUGAAGGUGCUGCAUGGUUGUCGUCAGCUCGUGCCGUGAGGUGUCGGCUUAAGUGCCAUAACGAGCGCAACCCUUAUCUUUAGUUACUAACAGGUCAUGCUGAGGACUCUAGAGAGACUGCCGUCGUAAGAUGUGAGGAAGGUGGGGAUGACGUCAAAUCAGCACGGCCCUUACGUCCGGGGCUACACACGUGUUACAAUGGGGGGUACAGAAGGCAGCUACCUGGUGACAGGAUGCUAAUCCCAAAAGCCUCUCUCAGUUCGGAUCGAAGUCUGCAACCCGACUUCGUGAAGCUGGAUUCGCUAGUAAUCGCGCAUCAGCCAUGGCGCGGUGAAUACGUUCCCGGGCCUUGUACACACCGCCCGUCAAGCCAUGAAAGCCGGGGGUACCUGAAGUACGUAACCGCAAGGAGCGUCCUAGGGUAAAACUGGUAAUUGGGGCU